rnacentral:rRNA from 1 species
AACGAACGCUGGCGGCAUGCCUAAUACAUGCAAGUCGAACGAGAUCUUCGGAUCUAGUGCCUCACGGGUGCGUAACGCGUGGGAAUCUGCCCUUGGGUUCGGAAUAACUUCUGGAAACGGAAGAUAAUACCGGAUGAUGACGUAAGACCAAAGAUUUAUCGCCCAAGGAUGAGCCCGCGUAGGAUUAGCUAGUUGGUGGGGUAAAGGCCCACCAAGGCGACGAUCCUUAGCUGGUCUGAGAGGAUGAUCAGCCACACUGGGACUGAGACACGGCCCAGACUCCUACGGGAGGCAGCAGUAGGGAAUAUUGGACAAUGGGGGAAACCCUGAUGCAGCAAUGCCGCGUGAGUGAUGAAGGCCUUAGAGUUGUAAAGCUCUUUUACCCGGGAUGAUAAUGACAGUACCGGAAGAAUAAGCUCCGGCUAACUCCGUG